UUACAAUCGGAGUACCAUCAGAGGAGGAUGGAUUACGUGAAAUCAACGCUAGAUUCUUGGAUGAAGGCGCCAUCGAGGGCCAGACCCCAUCUCCGCAGUAAAUUUGCUGCAUCCCUCUGGCCCCUCACUGCCUUCUUUAUGCCCAGUGAAGGCGCCUUAUAUGCCACAAAGGCAUAUCAAGCCUCAUUCAGCAGGAUGAGUGCUCCCUCCUGGGCCUCUUUAAGAAAUGACCUUCCUUUU